rnacentral:tmRNA from 1 species
GGGGCUGUUUUUGGAUUUGACAAAAUUAUCAACAAAGUAAAGUGCAUGCCGAGGAACGGUUUGCCUCGAUAAAAGCCGUAAAAAAAUAAUUGCAAAUAAUAAACAAAACUACGCUUUAGCAGCUUAAAAAACUGAAUAAAGCCCUUCCUUCUUAUCCUCCUUCUCUUAGGAUGAGAAAACAGGAAGGUCAGAAAAAGAGAAAAACGUGGAUAUCAAGCUUGACGAUAACACGAAGUAGUUUUUUCAAGCUAUAUACCUAAUAUGUGUUUUUCCAAAUU